UUUCAAAUACAACCCAAACCAUAACUUUACUGAAUGAAUCGAGUCCUGUGGAGAUCCCAUAACCAUCUUGGCAUGAUUAUAUGAUGGUGAAGGCAGAUGAACUAAUUAGAAAGAUGAGAAGGUUGAAUGUAUGCAUUUGAAUCUGAUUGCUUUCUCCACACUUGUAUAUAAAAACUUCACAUUUGUGCAUAAAAAUGUGACUUGUUUUGUAAACACUUGUUCUGUUGAUAUUGUUUUGACAAAGGG
rnacentral:misc_RNA from 1 species